rnacentral:rRNA from 1 species
UACGUAGGUGGCAAGCGUUGUCCGGAUUUACUGGGCGUAAAGAGCGUGCAGGCGGUCGUGCAAGUCGCGUGUGAAAGCCCCCGGCUCAACUGGGGAGGGUCACGCGAUACUGCUCGACUUGAAGGCAGGAGAGGGAAGUGGAAUUCCCGGUGUAGUGGUGAAAUGCGUAGAUAUCGGGAGGAACACCAGUGGCGAAGGCGACUUCCUGGCCUGUUCUUGACGCUGAGGCGCGAAAGCUAGGGUAGCAAACGGG